GACCUACAGCGGGCGCGGCGCCGGCGGUCUGCGGCCGGCGGUGUAGACGCCCCUUCGCCGGGACCUGGCACCCGAAUCCGGCCUGCCGGUGUUACCUGGAAUGUCAGAGAGCUGAAAGCAGUCAUAUUUUGGGAUCAUGCACCUACUGCGGCAGUAUAUAAAGAAAGAUAAUUAAGUAUGCACCCAAGAAGUAGCUGCGCCCCUACCCAUCACAAACUGUAUAGAAGGAUAUCUCCUAAGGAUUUUAUCAUGUGAAAACUUUCUGAAUUUUAGUUGGCUCUUUUUAGAAAUGCAGAUAAGAUGAAGGAUAUUGGACAGCAGCUAUACACUACACACUUGAACGGCGGACAUAAUUCCUUGACCAUGUCACCCAAACAGCCUGAUGCUAAUGGAGCACCUCGGCCAAAUAGACAAGAAGCACAAACCCUUUUGUAUCAAGGCUCAGAGGCAGAGGCUGCCAUGAUGACCAUUGCUACAUGUGCAAAGUGCAAAAGUGUUCACAAGAUCUCUCUUCAAGAUUUGCAGAA
rnacentral:lncRNA from 1 species